rnacentral:rRNA from 1 species
GGAAUAUUGAAAAAUGGRGGAAACCCUGAUGCAGCCAUGCCGCGUGUGUGAAGAAGGCUUCGGGUUGUAAAGCACUUUCAGUAGGGAGGAAAGGUGAUGUGUUAAUAGCACAUUGCUGUGACGUUACCUACAGAAGAAGGACCGGCUAACUCCGUGCCAGCAGCCGCGGUAAUACGGAGGGUCCGAGCGUUAAUCGGAAUUACUGGGCGUAAAGCGUGCGCAGGCGGUUUGUUAAGCCAGAUGUGAAAUCCCCGGGCUCAACCUGGGAAUUGCAUUUGGAACUGGCGAACUAGAGUCUUGUAGAGGGGGGUAGAAUUCCAGGUGUAGCGGUGAAAUGCGUAGAUAUCUGGAGGAAUACCGGUGGCGAAGGCGGCCCCCUGGACAAAGACUGACGCUCAUGCACGAAAGCG